GACGAACGCUGGCGGCGUGCUUAACACAUGCAAGUCGAACGGUGAACCACCUUCGGGUGGGGAUCAGUGGCGAACGGGUGAGUAACACGUGGGCAACCUGCCCCUAGCCCUGGGAUAACCCCGGGAAACCGGGGCUAAUACCGGAUAUGACUCCGAGCGGCAUCACUCGGAGUGGAAAAGUUUUUCGGUCUAGGAUGGGCCCGGCCGGCCUAAUCAGCUUGUUGGUGGGGUAACGGCCUACCAAGGCGACGACGGGUAGCCGGCCNGAGAGGGC
rnacentral:rRNA from 1 species